rnacentral:rRNA from 1 species
GUGUCGGCUGGAAACAACUAUAAAAUACUAAUUAAUUUUACAGAAUAUUUCCUUGCUAAUUUUUUCGAGGAUAAGCUCGAAAAAAAGUUAAGAUAUUUUUAGUUAAAAUUUGUUGCGUGGGCUUAAUAUCGGCUAUUGUAAGAGUUUGUUAUAAAAAAAUAAUUUUAAUAUCUAAAAUAAAUAUAAUUUAUUCUAACUUUUUAUAGAAAUAAAGACCUUAAUCAAUAUAUGUCUUGCACCUAUGCUAAGAUGAGUAUUAAAACGUAUUAUAGGUUGAGAAAAUUAAUCUUUUUCUCCUAGAAAAACAUUAGUUGAACUAAAUUAAUAAAAAGGAACUCGGCAAAUUCAGCGCUUUCGCCUGUUUAUCAAAAACAUGGCUCUUUGAAUUAUUUUUAUAAAGAGUCAGGCCUGCCCAGUGAAAUUUACUUUAACGGCCGCGGUACUCUGACCGUGCAAAGGUAGCAUAAUCAUUUGCCUUAUAAUUGAAGGCUAGUAUGAAUGGUUUAACGAGAGCAGCACUGUCUCUUUUUUAUUUCCAAGAACUUAACCUUUAGGUGAAGAGGCCUAAAUUUUAUUGAAGGACAAGAAGACCCUGUCGAGCUUAAAAGACACUAUAGAAGUUUAUAUAUACCUAAAUAAAUUUUCUGUUAAGCUUUUUAGUUGGGGCGACUAAGGAACAAAAAAAGCUUCUUAAGCAAAACAAACAUUCAAGUUUUGAUCCGGUGAUAGCCGAUCUAAGAAAUUAGUUACCGCAGGGAUAACAGCAUAAUCUCUCUUGAGAGACCUAAUCGAAAGAGGGGGUUGUGACCUCGAUGUUGGACUAGAAUAUCCUAAAGAUGUAGAAGUCUUUAAGGG